AGAAAAAGCACAGGGUUGAUUAAAACACUAGCAUCGUAACAACAAUGUGCGCGAGGAGGUGCCGACAUCGUGCUUACUGACCAUGUGAUUAUGGUUGUAGACAUUGGAAUCUAAACCUAAACUUACAUUUUUGCGAUCUUUUUAUUUUAAAAAAGAAAGCUUAAAAUACAAUCACAAGCAAACUAAAACCGCUUAUUUAGUAAUAACGGUUAACAACGUUCUUGAAUAGAAGUGAUCUGACAGAUGUGAGAUGUUUCACAAAAGCUUAUUUAGUAAUAACGGUUAACAACGUUCUUGAAUAGAAGUGAUCUGACAGAUGUGAGAUGUUUCACAAAAGCUUAUUUAGUAAUAACGGUUAACAACGUUCUUGAAUAGAAGUUAUCUGACAGAUGUGAGAUGUUUCACAAAAGCUUAUUUAGUAAUAACGGUUAACAACGUUCUUGAAUAGAAGUGAUCUGACAGAUGUGAGAUGUUUCACAAAAGCUGCUAACUAUUUUUCAUUCUUUAUGAAAGAACCCAUGAUUUUAACAUCUUUGACACCUUGUACGAUAAAGAACGUUAUUGUAGGUGGCAGUAAUAAUUACUUUCAUUCGUGGUUAUUUCUACGAAAGUGUUAAACAAUUGGCUUC